rnacentral:rRNA from 1 species
UACGAAGGGGACUAGCGUUGUUCGGAAUUACUGGGCGUAAAGCGCGUGUAGGCGGUUGUCCAAGUUGGAUGUGAAAGCCUUGAGCUCAACUCAAGAAAUGCAUUCAGGACUGGAUGACUAGAGGACCGGAGAGGAUAGUGGAAUUCCCAGUGUAGUGGUGAAAUACGUAGAGAUUGGGAAGAACACCAGUGGCGAAGGCGGCUAUCUGGACGGUUUCUGACGCUAAGACGCGAAAGCGUGGGGAGCAAACAGG